GACGAACGCUGGCGGCGUGCUUAACACAUGCAAGUCGAGCGGUAAGGCCCUUUCGGGGGUACGACGAGCGGCGAACGGGUGAGUAACACGUGGGUGACCUGCCCUCCAGCUCUGGGAGUAAGCCUGGGAAACCGGGUACUAAUACCGGAUAUGACUCCAUGACGCAUGUUGUGGGGUGGAAAGCCUUGUGCGGCUGAGGAUGGGCCCGCGGCUAUCAGCUUGUUGGUGGGGUGAUGGCCUACCAAGGCGACGACGGGUAGCC
rnacentral:rRNA from 1 species